AAUAGGAAAGAUACAGAUCAUAUAAAUUGCACAGUACCAAAUAGGUUGUUUUACAGUCCCUGCCUCCCUCCUUCUCUCCCUUGUCUAGUAGUCCCCAAUAUCUGUUUUUCUCAUCUUUAUGUCCAUGUGUGUAUCCAGUGCUUACUUCUGACUUACAAAUGAGAACAUGUGGUAUUUUGUUUUCUGUUCCUGCAUUAAUUCACUUAGGAUAACCGCCUCCAGCUACAUCCAUGUUGCUGCAAAGGACAUGAUUUCAUUCUCUUCUUAUGGUUGCAUAGUAUUCCAUAGUACAUAUGUACCAGAUUUUCUUUAUCUAAUCUAAUCUACUGUUGAUGAGCAUCUAGGUUGAUUCUAUGUCUUUGCUACUGUGAAUAGUGAUGCAAUGAAUGAAUGAGUGCAUGUGCCUUUUUGGUAGAAUGAUUUAUUUUCCUUUGGCUAUAUACCCAGUAAUAGGAUUACUGGGUCAAAUGGUAGUUCUGUUUUAAGUUCUUUGAGAAAUCUCCAAACUGCUUUAUAUAGUGGCUGAACUAAUUUAUAUUCCCGCCAACAAUGUAUAAGCCUUCCCUUUUCUCUGCAGCCUCACCAGCACAUUUUGUUUUUUGACUUUUUAAUAAUAGCCAUUCUCACUGGUAUGAGAUGGUAUCUCAUUGUGGUUUUGAUUUCUGUUUCUCUGAUGAUUAGUAUGUUGAACAUUUUUUCAUAUGUUUGUUAGCCGCAGGUAUAUCUUCUUUUAAGAAGUGUCUGUUCAUGUCCUUUGCCUACUUUUUUUUUUUUUUUUUUUUUUUUUUUGAGAUGGAGUCUCGCUCUGUCGCCCAGGCUGGAGUGCAGUGGCGGGAUCUCGGCUCACUGCAAGCUCCGCCUCCCGGGUUCACGCCAUUCUCCUGCCUCAGCCUCCCAAGUAGCUGGGACUACAGGCGCCCGCCACUACGCCCGGCUAAUUUUUUGUAUUUUUAGUAGAGACGGGGUUUCACCGUUUUAGCCGGGAUGGUCUCGAUCUCCUGACCUCGGGAUCCGCCCGCCUCGGCCUCCCAAAGUCUUUGCCUACUUUUUAAUGGGGUUAUUUGUUUUUCACUUGGUUCAUUUGUUUAAAUUCCUUAUAGAUUCUGGAUACUAGACCUUUGUUGGAUGCACGGUUUGUAAAUAUUUUCUCCUAUUCUGUAUGUCUUCUGUCUACUCUGCUGAUAGUUUCUUUUGCUGUGCAGAAGCUUUUUAGUUUAAUUAGAUCCCACUUGUCAAUUUUUGUAUUUGUUGCAGUUGCUUUUGAGGACUUAGUCAUAAAUUCUUUGCCAAGGCCAAUGCCUAGAAUUGUGUUUCUUAGGUUUUCUUCUAGGAUUCUUAUAGUUUGUGAUCUUACAUUUAAAUCUUUAAUUCAUCUUGAGUUGAUUUUUGUAUAUGGUGAAAGGAAGGGAUCAAGUUUCAGUCUACAUAAGGCUAGCCAGCUAUCCCAGCACCAUUUAUUGAAUAAGAAGUCCUUUCCCCAUUGCUUAUUUUUGUCUACUUUGUUGAAGAUCACAUGGUUGUAGGUGUGCAGCUUUAUUUCUGGGUUCUCUAUUCUAUUCCAUUGGUCUACAUGUCUGUUUUUGUAUGAAUACUAUGCUGUUUUGGUUACUGUAGCCUUGUAAUAUAGUUUGAAGUUGGGUAGCAUGAGGCUUUGUUUUCUUCAUUUUACUUAGGACUGCUAUUCAGAGACUUUUUUGAUUCUAUAUGAAUUUUAGAACAGUUUUUUUCUAAUUCCGUGAAAAAAAAUGGCCUGUCUGGAUUAUUCUUGGUCUCUCUGAGCCUGUAUUUUAUCCUUCUGGGUAUGGGAGGGACCCUCUUUGGAAUGGGGGUCUUACAACCUAAAGUCAAACAGGGUAGGUCAGAUAAUUUCUUUAUGGCCAGGUUCAGCACAGAAAGGCAGAGGGAAAUUUAGAAUAGUAUUUUUAGGUUUUAUGACUGGCUUUGG
rnacentral:lncRNA from 1 species